rnacentral:misc_RNA from 1 species
GAUGAAGAACGUAGCGAAAUGCGAUACAUAAUGUGAAUUGCAGAAUUCAGUGAAUCAUCGAGUCUUUGAACGCACAUUGCGCCCCCUGGUAUUCCGGGGGGCAUGCCUGUCCGAGCGUCAUUGCUGCCCUCAAGCACGGCUUGUGUGUUGGGCCUCCGUCCUCCUCCCGGGGGACGGGCCCGAAAGGCAGCGGCGGCACCGCGUCCGGUCCUCGAGCGUAUGGGGCUUCGUCACCCGCUCUUGUAGGCCCGGCCGGCGCUUGCCGACACAUCAAUCUUUUUUCCAGGUUGACCUCGGAUCAGGUAGGGAUACCCGCUGAACUUAAGCAUAUCAAUAAGCGGAGGA